GGUGAACGCUGGCGGUAGGCCUAACACAUGCAAGUCGAACGGCAGCACAGUAAGAGCUUGCUCUUACGGGUGGCGAGUGGCGGACGGGUGAGGAAUACAUCGGAAUCUACUUUUUCGUGGGGGAUAACGUAGGGAAACUUACGCUAAUACCGCAUACGACCUACGGGUGAAAGCAGGGGAUCUUCGGACCUUGCGCGAUUGAAUGAGCCGAUGUCGGAUUAGCUAGUUGGCGGGGUAAAGGCCCACCAAGGCGACGAUCCGUAGCUGGUCUGAGAGGAUGAUCAGCCACACUGGAACUGAGACACGGUCCAGACUCCGACGGGAGGCAGCAGGGGGGAAUAGUGGACAAGGGGCGAAAGCCUGACCGAGCAAUCCCGGGGGGGGGAAGAAGGCCUGCGGGUUGUAAACCCGUUUUGUGGGGAAAGAAAAGCAGCGGGUGAAAACCCGGCUGUCCUGACGGUACCAAAAAAAAAAGCACCGGCUAACUUCGUG
rnacentral:rRNA from 1 species